rnacentral:misc_RNA from 1 species
ACUUGCUAUCUAUAAUAUAUGUACACUUAUUGUCUAGUUAGCGUAUAUGUACACUUAUGGCCUACUUGGCCUACUUACAAUAUACACUUAACCUAUAUAUGUUAAGAACCAGUGACACAAAGUAUUACUAUAAGUCGUUAUUGCUGAACUUCAACAUUCAUAUUCGGACGAAAUGAUCCGCUGUGCCUAUUUCCAACCGUUUAUACCAAAAAUGUAUUUCUAAUAUUUUAGUUUACAGUUAACUAAAUCAAACAGUAGGAGCCAGUUAUAGAAUAUUGGACGCAAAAUUAAUGUAAAAGUUAAGUGAAUAAUUUCGAAUCAGCAGUCGGUUAGAAAAAGGCUUAACGGUUGAAUCCUCGACGUGUACAGAGUAGGCAAAUAUCUACGAGUUGAUUAACCCAUCGUCCGAAAUAUAUCUCGAACCAACGCCAGGAAGCCUAACCUAGAUCUAGUAUAGAAAUGGUUAUGUUUCGUCUCCCCACGAUGCACUACCACUUUAUAAAAGUAACACUAAACGCUGUGUAGAUAUUUUAAUAUUGUCAUUGUUUACUUUUAAUUAGCAUUUACGUAUUAUAUUUUACAUGUAUACAGC